GCCGGGAUGGCGGAACUGGUAGACGCUGGGGACUUAAAAUCCCCCGGAGCAAAGCUCUGUGCGGGUUCGAUUCCCGCUCCCGGCACCA
rnacentral:tRNA from 1 species